UCUCGUGUGUCCCUCCGCCCUCCAGCCCCCAUUCUCAGCACACCGUCCGCUCCGCCUCGUUUCUCCAGUUCGGGAAACCAGCGUCGCCUAGAGAGUGGGACCGACCGACACCGGUGUGACUCAUGACAUCAUGAACCCCAACAUGCCUCAAGAACCAAAGUGGAGCCGCUCAGGUUCUCCUUUAUCCAGGACUUUGCAGCAGAAUCCUUCAGAAAAAGCACCAGAAGAUUCUCCAGACUAACCGCCCCUUUUUCACGAGCAAAGAGAAGAACGGUUUGUUUAGAGUCAGCCAGCAUUUCAACCGCUGCACUCUGCAGUGAAGCUGCUCUUCCAUAGAGAAUCUUGGACAAGACUGGACCUUCUGGAGCUCCUCACUUUCCAGAUGCACUGAGGAUAAAGAGGAAGGCACCUCCUCCAAGUUUUUAUUUACUAGUCUAUGCAUUUCACUGCAAGACCUUCUGGAACAAGCUAUCAUUUCUGAAGCUAUAUAAUAAAGCAUUUUAAGGCCUCUAACAGUCUGAACAGAGCUGAAUCGCCGACUUUUUUUAAUCUAAAGUGUAGAAAAUUUGUUUUUGGGACUCCAGAGAACCACAGAGAUCUAUCACCCAAACCAUAGAGAAACUAGUGAAAAUAGGAGAACCUUCCUGAACGUGCAGCCAGUGAGUCCAGGAAAAUAACUAGGACUUACCCAAGAGGCCACCAAAGAAGCAGAAGAUGGAGAAAGUGAAGACCUCAGUUCAGGAGAGAGUUCAUGAUCCAACAGUCAGAAAGGGACUUUUGGACAAACAUGGAUCAGUGGGAUCCCAGGUUGCACAUCUGACAAAAACAUCUUAAUAAAAAGCUGGAUUCAGAAUAACAGCAUUUCAGAAUAACAUCAGAGGACCAAUCAGACUUGGAGGUGACAGUGUUAUGGUGUGGGUCUGCUCCGUUAUAAUCGAUGACAAUUAUUUCUGAUCUCUUCCAAAAAAAUCUAGAACAGGGCCUGCAGCUCUGGAGCCACAUGUGACUGUUUGAGCUCUCCAUUGAGGCUUUCUGGUUGAAGAAU